GCGAAGGUAGCAUAAUCACUUGUUCUUUAAAUGGGGACUCGUAUCAACGGCACCACGAGGAUCACACUGUCUCCCCUUUUUAAUCAGUGAAACUGAUCUCUCCGUGAAGAAGCGGAGAUUUAAUUAUAAGACGAGAAGACCCCAUGGAGCUUUAAACCCGAUAGCACCCCAUUUAACUUAAACUACAUAUCACUUGGGCCCUGUCUACUCGGCUUUAGGUUGGGGUGACCGCGGAGUACAAAAUAACCUCCACGAAGAAUGGAUUUAACUCCUUAUCUAAGAGACACACCUCUAAGAAUUAGUAUACUAAUAUUAAAUGAUCCGGUAUUUUACCGAUCAACGAACCAAGUUACCCUGGGGAUAACAGCGCAAUCCACUUCAAGAGCUCUUAUCGACAAGUGGGUUUACGACCUCGAUGUUGGAUCAGGGUAUCCUAGUGGUGCAGCAGCUACUAAAGGUUCGUUUGUUCAACGAUUAAAACCCU
rnacentral:rRNA from 1 species